AUUUUUUUAAAUUAAAGUUGAGAAACAGUCGCAUGGUGUAAGUCAAUGUGUGUGCUUGAGUGUUAAUAUAGCUUGGCCAUUGACUUUGCUAUGGAAAUAGGCAUGGAGGGCUACAACGCUGAAUAGUGUAGUUAGUUUACUUGUACAUGCUUAUGUUGUAGUAUUGGGGUUAGUGGGUAUGCCUGCUGUACAGCUAGCGUUAGGUAUAACGUUGUUA